GACAAACUAUAUUUAUCUCAACAAAUGUAGUAGCUAUGUUGGAUAUUAAACCAUCUGCCACAAAAUACAAAUACUUACCUGUUCUGUCACAGCUAUUGUGGCGAUACACUUUAUGUUGAAACGGCCGAGUGGUAAAGGUCACUGACUUCAAAUCACUUGCCCCUUACCGAUGUGGGUUGGAGCCUUACUCGGGGCGUUGACUUUUCAUGUGAGGAAGCCAUCCAACUGGCUCACGGAAGGUUGUAUGUUCUACCCAGAUGCCCGCUCGUGAUGAAAUAAUGCACAAAGGGGCACCUUCUACCAUCAAAGCUGGAAAGUCACCAUAUGACCUAUAAUUGUGUCGGUGCGUGGUUAAACUCAACAAAAACAAACAAAACACUUUAUGUUGAUAAAACCAUAUAUUUUGCUUUAUUAGCUGUUGUAAACAUACAAAAAUAUUUCUAACCUCGUAAAUGAGGUGUAUCUAUACUAUCUGGCGAAUAAAUUUCAAAAAUAGAUUUAAUAUUUUUAUAAACGCACUUAGUUUUUCACCUUCUAUUUUUGGAAAAUGGGCUUUGCGUUGCCAACCUAAAAAUUGAAACGUAUUUCAUGUGAUCAUUUCCUUUGAUAUUUCAUUUGAUUAUAAUGAAUACAUUUUAUGGCAUUUUGUAAAUAAAGCUAACAAGCAAAUACACCAAGCCUAAACUGAACUAGGAAGAAUGUUAGGGUUCACACUUGCUUUGUCCUCUAAUCUAUACUUAUUGACAACACGGGCCAAUUAAAUGUCAGUUACAAAUAGGUCAAGACUGACAUUUGGUAUGUUGCCAAAACCAAUCAAUAAAUUUGGUAUAUCAAACUAUAGAUAAAUAUUUGUGUAAAUUCAUAUUUGAUUCUACCAUAUAUGUUUUCACGAGGAAAAUGUCUGACACUCUCGCAGAUGUUAAAAUAUCCAAGCAGCAUACAACAAGACCGCCACCUAUUGCACUGGGUAUAAAUGUGGAAAAACCAAAAUUUCCUCAAUAUGCUGUCUAUUCCAAACGGCUGGAGUCUUUUGAGUUGUGGCCAGAAUACCUGCUAGUACAGAAGAAAGAUAUGGUAGAAGCAGGUCUGGUAUUUACAGGCGUUGGUGACAGUGUAAGGUGCUAUUUCUGCGGCGGGGGUUUAAGGAACUGGGAACGUGGCGAUGUACCCAUGGAGGAGCAUGCAAAGUGGUAUCCGAAGUGCCCUCAUAUUUUGCUAGUUAAGGGACAGGCAUACAUUGAGAGACUUGCACGUGGAGAAAGACCUGGAACAGACGGAGAAGAUGGAAUAACCAGUAAUUAAACAGGAAACAGUGAUUUCAAAGGCAAAGAUUUGUGUGAAAUCCUUUUUGAUAUAGACGAGAAUCCCGAUGAACUAGAUGAAAAUGAAGUCAAUAAAUGUAUUGAAGAAACCAACGAGAUAGCUAAAGAAGACGAGCAAUUAGAGCCACUCGAAACUCUUCUUGAAGAAAACAACAGGUUAAAGGAGAACCAAAAGUGUAAAAUAUGUUUGGACAGCCGAGCUGAUGUGAUAUUUCUGCCAUGUGAUCACAUGGUCAGCUGUCCGCAGUGCGCCCCAGCGCUUAUUAAAUGCCCCGUUUGCAGACAAACUGUCAAUGGACAGCUGAAAGCAUUCUUUUCCGUAACUAAUAUAAAUGUUUAAUGAUAAUGGGUACACUUUUUACAAACAUUUCACAUUUUAAUGUAUAUAAGAACAUUCAUCCACUCCUCAAGCACUUCUGAGCUGUGAGUGUUUGAAAGUGUACCCAUUUAUGUGAUGUAAAGGAAUACCGCAAUUAUAUAUUGUAGUCAAUUGUUUGCAAAGUAAGUGAUGAUCAUUUAGUUCGUUUUGUCACUAUGUGUUUUCUUAGAUAUUUAUUUUUGUUUUUUUAGUGAUUUUCACAUAAACAAUGAACAAAUAAGUAAUGAAUUGUAAUAAAUAUUGUUGGUUGUGUUUGCUGUCUUUUAAAAACUUUUUAUGUUAUAUAUGGUAAAAUAGCCAUUAAAAUGGCCCUCAACUAAAUUAUAUCUCUUAACAAAGCACUGUAAUUUCCCUAUAUUUUACAUUUUAACCUGUACAAUGUUGGAAUAUCAAAAAGAAAUAUCUCAAUUAACUGGUAUAAGGAAUAAAAAGUAGUCAAUACUGAUCUUUUUGUGGCUGUAUAUCAAAUGGUGUAAAGGUAAUUUUAAAUAUACAAUGUGCCUUACAUGAAUGCUGUUUGGAGCGGAUCACAUUAAACUCUUAUUAUUCAUUUUCUA